UAUUAUGAAUAACUGAGUUACCCACUGAUUCUACCCGUUCUCGACGUCAGCAUUGAGUCAGGCUAUCAGAUGACGGUACUGUCGGCAGAGCGGAGUCAUGGAAGCUGAAGUCUCUCGCUACCUUAAGAACAUAAAUAAGGGAAGCUGCAAGAAGCGACCAGGCUUACAUGUGGCAGUCCCUGUAUGAAAUAUACCUACCUAUUUCCACCUAUCAUCCCCAUCCAUAAACCCGUCUAAUCUUCCCUUAAAGCUCCCUAAUUUGAUCAGAGCUUCAUGGUUCAGGCUUCUUGAAACUGGUUCAUUGUGGGUUUCGGAGCGAGGGUCGAACGCGGGCUAUAAGGACAGUGAUGCAGGGUAUCCUCUGUUUAUAAGGGAAUCAGGUGAUGUAUAUAUGUGUUAGAAUCUUAUUUAAUUGUUUGUGAUACGCCUUUUGUUGUUUGAAGCUGAGACGCUCACACGUGACAGACGCCUUCUAACACCUAUUGUCCUCUGCUGAAUGUACCAGUUAGUGGUCACGGCGGACGGUUAUGGCGGCGCGACGUGAUUUACGGGAAAAGAUCAAAGAAGGAAUAGCGUUAGUGUUCACACCAACUCGUCAGACAUGGUGUUAAGUGUCGCAGUGCUCUAGUGACGUGAGCCUCAGCUUACAUAUACGUACUUUGCCGGCAACUUAGAUGUGUGCAGGGCAAGAUUCCCACAAUUAAGGACCGGCGGCUCCCUAACUUCCUCCCGCGCCACGCCAGGAAACCUCGGUAAAGAUUCAUCAACGCCAAGCCAGAUAAACACCACACCAGCUUUGCAAACCCAUCUGUUUUACAUCCUGCCGCCAGCUCCCCUCCGUGUUAAAACAUUGGAUUCGAGUCGAGGGCCCCAUUUCUGUACAUUUCUGGCAACAGGUUGGAUCAGCAGAGGAGCCGACACCGCACAGCUCGGCGCUCUUCCCCUGUGCCUGAGCAACACUGCGCUGACACGUCUGUCCGAUGCAGGGAGGAGACAGCAAGCGAGAGGCGAGGCUUGGCGGUGUUUUGACAUGCUAAGCAGUUAGUGUUCUUAAUAAGGAUCCAUGUCGGGGCAUCAUGAGAGAAAACAGCUUGUAUGCUGUCAUACGGACGCGGCGCUCACAACUUGGAAUCUCAAACAAGCCUCUCCCACACCCACCUCUAAUAUCUUCCACCACUGUGACAGAGAGAGAGAGAGAGAGAGAGAGAGAGAGAGAGAGAGAGAGAGAGAGAGAGAUUAGAUUAGAUUAGAUUAAAUUGUUUAUUAUCCACCAAAGUGGUUGUUACACAUUUUACAAGUAGUCAAGUAUACAAAUAUGAUUUAAUACCGGUGAUAUUUAACAAUGUAAAUACAAUAAAGUUGAGGAUCACUCGUCUAUAAUAGAUGCACCACAAAAAUGCUAAGUUAACGUACAUACACUGGUACACUUACAAUGAAAACAUCAAGGUGAAACAAACCUAACUAAAUAUAUUUUUGGUUAUUUUAUUUAUUUAUUUUAUUUUAUUUUUUUCAAGUCCAGCCUUAAAAGAGUUUAUAGAUGUGUCCUGUGUGAGGGAGAGCGGGAGAGAGUUCCACACUGUGGUUCCCAAUAUGACAGUGCGCCUAUCAGCAGAGAGUGUGUAGGUGGCCGGUACAAGCAACCUGUGCCUGUGUCUUGUGACGCUACUGGUGAUGGCUUGCCUGUUACAUAGUGAUAAAAACUAUUUUGGAUGAAACCCUCGUAAAAUCUUAAAUAUUGUUGUAGCCACUUGUAAAACAUGUUUGUGCUUUAUUCGUAGCCAUUGGAGUUCUUUAUAAAAUGGAGACACGUGAUCAUAUUUCUUAACUCCACCUAUGGCAACCCUUACUGCAGCAUUCUGUAACUUUUGCACACCAGACAUUAAUGCAUCAUUUGUAGUCCCCAUAUUCUAAUACAACAGUUAAUUAAGGUUAAUACAAGGGCCUGUGUCACCAUGAUCCUGCUGUCCUUAUCUGGGUUUUCACUAAUUCAACUUACAUACAUUAAAAUACCCACCACUUUCCUUUUCAGCUCAUUAAUAUGGACGUCAAAAAGCAAGUAACUAUCCAAGCAAACUCACAAGUUUUUCACGUGCUUACUUGGAUGUAUUACAUUUCCAUUAACAUUCACAGUCGUGUUUGGGGGAGUGUGAGAUAAAAGCUGGCGAUUACCUAUAAAAACACACUGAGUCUUGCAAGAAUUAAACAUGAGACCAUUGUUUAGUUACAACAUCGGGAUCACCAUUUUUAUACAGGGGGACAACCAGUGCAUGUUUCCAUGACUCGGGGAACACGCCAGUCACCAGGGACGUGUUGAUGAUACAGCUGAGGAGAGGACAGUGACACAGAGCGCAUCCCGGACAAACUUUAAUGCUAUUCCGUCCGACCCGAUGGAGUUGGUUACAUCGAGGUCUUUAACGGUUAAGAUAAGGGUGUCAGCGUCCACGGGCUCAGGUCUACAAGCAGAGUUCACUUUAAUGGUAUUUACUUGAGGAUGAUGAACAGUUACUACUACCCCUUCACUUCUUAGUUCUUCCUGAGAACGUCUGAAAGUAGUCUCCCCAACAUUUGAAAAGAAUUUAUUGAAGUCAGUUUUUCAUUUACGUUACCAAAAUUGUGAGUAUCAUGUUUUUUUUUUUUUUUCUGAUUAGGAAUAAUUUCCUCAGUAACUUUCCAUAUUGCAGAGAUAUUUCCUUUACAAUCUUUUAGACGACCUUGAUAAUGCUCUGCCUUAGAGGUAUUAAUGAGUGCUUUGAUAUGCUUUAGCAGCUUUAUAACGUUCCCUCAAUCCAACGUUAUUUGUACCGACUUUUAACUCUCUUUGCAACCUAUUACGUUCCUCCUUUGCCUCACGAACAUCGCCACUCAUCCAUGGUGCUGGUGUGCCUUUCACAGCUUUAGUCACAACAGGGGCACACACAUCAAGAGGAAAACUAAAAACCUCAUUAAAAAUAUACACUUGUUUGUUAAGGUCGUCAGUUAAAAACACAUUAUUGAUACAAUACACAUUGUAUAAAAGCAGCAAACAGAAAGUGUCUUUAUCACAGUGCUUCAGAUCAGGGAGGCUUUUUAUCACCGGUAUUUUGCGAGGUUUUCUUACAUUUAUAGCGACGGACACGAGAUCAUGAUCUGCAAUUAACUGAGGGACCACGUCAAGGGAUAAAACUACCUCAGGUUUAUUAGUGAUAAUAAGAUCCAGUAGAGUAGCUCAAUGUCAGGUUUUUCUUGUGGGUUUAUCAAUAAAACUGAAUCAACUUA